rnacentral:lncRNA from 1 species
AUGAAAACUGGGCUUUCCCCUGUGGCCCCCAUCUGCACAGACUGCUGUCUUCUGACUGGACAGGUUGUAGAGGUCAGGCCUCCCAGCCUCGGCCUUCCUGCCCUGAGGCCUCCAACACCUGAACUCAGCAGCACGACGUUCACCUCCUUCCACCAGGAAGAACCCCAGCUUCCUCUUCCGGUUUUGGAACCUCAGGCUCCACAGGCUCCACACCCUCAGCCACUUCUUCUUACUGCGCCCCGUGCACAUUUGCGUUUGCUCUGUCCGCCUCCCCCACCGCUGGGGCUCCUCCUCCCUGUUCUGCGUGGGGUGUAGGGGUUCUUGGCCUCAGGCUGCACGUGGUUCUUCUUCAAUUUUUUUAUUAGUACGUUUGCAAUGCAUAAUGAUUGCAUGUCUUGUCGGGAAUUGGU